AGCUCCAAUAGCGUAUAUUAAAGUUGUUGCAGUUAAAAAGCUCGUAGUUGGAUUUCUGGGCUUUGACGAUGGUUCGCCGCAAGGUGUACACUGUCGUUGGAGCCCAUCCUCUCGAAGACGGGGCGUGCUCUUUACCGGGUGCGUCUUGGACUCGGGACUUUUACUUUGAAAAAAUUAGAGUGUUCAAAGCAGGCUUACGCUUGAAUACUUCAGCAUGGAAUAAUGGAAUAGGACUUUGGUCUUAUUUUGUUGGUUUCUAGGACCGAAGUAAUGAUUAAUAGGGACAGUUGGGGGCAUUAGUAUUUAAUUGUCAGAGGUGAAAUUCUUGGAUUUAUGAAAGACUAACUUCUGCGAAAGCAUUUGCCAAGGAUGUUUUCA
rnacentral:rRNA from 1 species